CAUGCAUGUCUAAGUAUAAACGAUUUAAUCGUGAAACCGCGAAUGGCUCAUUAUAACAGCUAUAAUUUACUUGAUCUUGACACAAUCCUACUUGGAUAACUGUGGUAAUUCUAGAGCUAAUACAUGCAUUAAAGCUCUGACCUCACGGGAAGAGUGCAUUUAUUAGAACAAAACCAAGCGGCUUCGGCUGUUUCUGGUUGACUCAUAGUAACUGAGCUGAUCGCAUGGUCUUGCACCGGCGACGUGUCUUUCAAGUAUCUGCCGUAUCAACUUUCGAUGGUAGUGUAUCUGACUACCAUGGUGAUCACGCGUAACGGAGAAUAAGGGUUCGGCUCCGGAGAGUUCGCCUGAGAAAUCGCGAACACAUCUAAGGAAGGCAGCAGGCGCGAAAAUUACCCACUCUCAGCACGAGGAGGUAGUGACGAAAAAUAACGAGACCGUUCUCUUAUGAGGCCGGUCAUCGGAAUGGGUACAAUUUAAACCCUUUAACGAGUAU
rnacentral:rRNA from 1 species